AGGGUUGGGGGUUUGGUGUUUGGGGGAUGGGAGGUUGGAAGGUUGCAAGGUUUGGGGUCUGGGUUUAGGCGUUUUGGUUUCGAGGUUCAAACUUUUCGAGGUUUUGAGGUUUGUGGUUUUGGGGUUAUAGGUUUCGAGGUUUGAGGUUUGUGAGGUUCGAGGUUCGAGUUUUGGGGUUCGCGGUUAAGGGUUUGGGGUUAGGGGUUAAGGGUACUUUAGGGUUUAGUGUUUAGGAUUUUGGGUUUGGAUUUCGGGAUUGGGGAUUGGGGUUUGGGGUUUGUGGGUUGGGGUACUUUGGGGUUAAAGUUUAGGAUUUAUGGUUUACGGAUUUAGGGGUUUAGGGGUUUACGGUUUAGGGUGCAUGGAUCGGUUCGGAGUUCGUGAUUUCAAGAUUCGGGGUGGCGCAUUUGGGGUUUCAUAGUUUAAGGUUUAGGUUAGAGUUAUAGAGUUGUGUGUUAUUAGCUUUCGAGACGAUGACCAAUAUUAAUCAAAGUUUGAUACCCAAAAUGCAUGUAAUUCGAAUCAUAAUAAGAAACUCAAAAUUUCAAACCAAUCCAUAAUACAAAAUGCAUAGAUAUUCCCUAACUAAUAGAAAUUGUUAUCUCCACCAACAAAGUUUGAAGUUAGGAUUACAGGUUUCAGAUUUCGAGUUUCAGGGUUUUGGGGUUGGUGGUUGGGGGUUUGGAGGUUUAGAGGUUUGGGGGCUGGGUUUCGAGGUUUGGGGUUUUGGGGUUUCAUGUUUUGUGUUCAGGGUUCGAGGUUCGAGGUUUGGGGUUAAGGGUACUUUAGGGUUUAGUGUUUAGGAUUUUAGGGUUCUGGUUUCGAGAUUGGGGAUUUGGGGUUCAGGGUUCGUGGUUUGGGGUACUUUAGGGUUUAUGGUUAAGGGGUUAAAGUUUAGGAUUUAUGAUUUACGGCUUUAGGUUUUUAGGGGUUUAAGGUUUAGUGUUUUAGGUUUCAAGGUUUAGGGUGCUUGGAUCGGUUUGGGGUUCGUGAUUUCGGGUUUAGGGUAGAGCGUUUGGGGUUUCAAGUUUUAGGUUUCAGGGUUUUGGGGUUUUCGGGAUUUUGGGUUUGGGGGUUGGGUUAGGGGUUUUAGGUUUCGAGGUUUAGACUUUUCGAGGUUUCGAGGUUUGUGGUUUUGGGGUUUCAAGUUUCGUGUUCAGGGUUCGAGGUACGGGGUUCGGGGUUAAGGGUACUUUAAGGUUUAGUGUUUAAGAUUUUAGGGUUCGGGUUUCGAGAUUAGGGUUUGGGGUUCGUGGUUUGCGGUACUUUAGGGUUUAGGGUUUAGGGUAGAGUUUUAGGGCUGUGUGUACUUAGAUUCCAAGACGAUGACUAGUAUUAAUCAAAGUUUGAUACCCAAAAUGCAUGUAAUUCGAAUCAUAAUAAGAAACUCCAACUUUCAAACCAAUCCAUAAUACAAAGUGCUUAAAUAUUCCCUAAAUAAUAGAAAUUAUUAUCUCCACCAAUAAAGUUUGAAGUUAGGAUUACAGGUUUAGAGGUUUGGAGGUUGGAAGGUUUGAGGGGUUGGGUUUAGUGGUUUCAAGGUUUUAGGGUUUGGAAGUUUGGGAGUUGAGGGUUGGAGGGUUUGAGGGUUGGGUUUAGGGGUUUUGGGUUUCGAGGUUUAGACUCUUCGAGGUUUCAAGGUUUGUGGUUUUGGGGUUUUCGAUUUCGAGUUCAGGGUUCGAGGUUCAAGGUUCGAGGUACGGGGUUCAGGAUUCGGGAUUUGAAAUUAAGGGUACUUUAGGGUUUAGUUUUUAGGAUUUUGGGUUUGGAUUUCAGGAUAAGGGUUUGGGGUUCGGAGUUCGUGGUUUGGGGUACUUUGGGGUUUAUGGAUUAGGUGUUAAAGUUUAGGAUUUAUGGUUUAUGGUUUAGGUUUUUGAGGGUUUAAGGUUUAAGGUUUUAGGUGCAUGGAUCGGUUUGGGAUUCGUGAUUUCAGGAUUCGGGGUGUGGCGUUUGGGAUUUCAGGGUUUAGGGUUUAGGAUUUAGGUUAGAGUUAUAGGGUUGUGUGUUAUUAGAUUUUGAGACGAUGACCAAUAUUAAUCAAAGUUUGAUACCCAUAAUAAGAAGCUCAAUUUUGGAGGGUUUGGAGGGUUGGAGGGUUUGGAAGUUUGGGAGUUGAGGGUUGGAGGGUUUGAGGGUUGGGUUUAAGGGUUUUGGGUUUCGAGGUUUAGGGUUGGGGUUUUGAAGGUUUAGGGGUUAGGGGUUGGAAGGUUUGAGGGGUUAGGGGUUGGGUUUCGAGGUUUAGACUUUUCAAGGUUUCGACGUUUUGGGGUUUUGGGGGUUGGGGGUUGGGGGGUUGGAGGUUUGGGGGAUAGGAGGUUGGAAGGUUUGGGGUUUGGGUUUAGGGGUUUUGGUUUCGAGGUUCAAACUUUUCGAGGUUUUGAGGUUUGUGGUUUUGGGGUUAUAGGUUUUGAAGUUCGAGGUUUGAGAUUCGAGGUUCGAGUUUCAGAGUUCGGGGUUCAGGGUUCGGGGUUAGGGGUUAAGGGUACUUUAGGGAUUAGUGUUUAGUAUUUUGGGUUUGGAUUUCGGGAUUGGGGAUUGGGGUUUGGGGUUUGUGGGUUGGGGUAUACUGUGGGGUUUACGGUUUAGUGAGUUAAAGUUUAGGAUUUAUGGUUUACGAUUUUAGGGGUUUAGGGGUUUAGGGUUUAGGGUGCAUGGAUCGGUUCGGAGUUCGGGAUUUCAAGAUUCGGGGUGGGAGCGUUUGGGGUUUCAUAAUAAGGUUUAGGUUAGAGUUCUAGGGUUGUGUGUUAUUAGAUUCUGAGACGAUGACCAAUAUUAAUCAAAGUUUAAUACCCAAAAUGCAUGUAAUUCGAAUCAUAUAAUAAGAAACUCAAAAUUUCAAACCAAUCCAUAAUACAAAAUGCAUAGAUAUUCCCUAACUAAUAGAAAUUGUUAUCUCCACCAACAAAGUUUGAAGUUAGGAUUACAGGUUUCAGAUUUCGAGUUCAGGGAUUAGGGGUUUUGGGGUUGGGGGUUGGGGGUUUGGAGGUUUGGAGGUUAGGGGGUUGGGUUUCGAGGUUUGUGGUUUUGGGGUUUCAGGUUUCGUGUUCAGGGUUCAAGGUUUGAGGUUCGAGGUUAAGGCUACUUUAAGGUUUAGUGUUUAGGAUUUUAGGGUUCUAGUUUCGAGAUUGGGGAUUUGGGUUUGGGGUUCAGGGUUCGUGGUUUGGGGUACUUUAGGGUUCGUGGUUUAGGGGUUAAAGUUUAGGAUUUAUGGUUUACGGCUUUAGGUGUUUAGGGGUUUAAGGUUUAGUGUUUUAGGGUGCAUGGAUCAGUUUGGGGUUCGUGAUUUCGGGUUUCUGAGUAGAGCGUUUGGGGUUUAAGGUUUUAGGUUUCGAGGUUUUGGGGUUUCUGGGAUUUUGGGUUUGGGGGUUGGGUUAGGGGUUUUUAGGUUUCGAGGUUUAGACUUUUCGAGGUUUCGAGGUUUAUGGUUUUGGGGUUUCAAGUUUCGUGUUCAAGGUUCGAGGUACGGGGUUCGGGGUUAAGGGUACUUUAAGGUUUAGUGUUUAAGAUUUUAGGAUUUAUGAUUUACGGCUUUAGGUUUUUAGGGGUUUAAGGUUUAGUGUUUUAGGUUUCAAGGUUUAGGGUGCUUGGAUCGGUUUGGGGUUCGUGAUUUCGGGUUUCUGGGUAGAGCGUUUGGGGUUUCAAGUUUUAGGUUUCGGGCUUUUGGGGAUUUUGGGUUUUUGGGUUUGGGGGUUGGGUUAGGGGUUUUAGGUUUCGAGGUUUAGACUUUUCGAGGUUUCGAGGUUUGUGGUUUUGGGGUUUCAGGUUUGUGGUUUUGGGGUUCGAGGUUCAGGGUUAGGGGUUCGAGGACUACAGAGGAUUGAGGCUAACCACCAAUCAGGAUGAAAAAUGAAAACAAAUUAUAUUAUAAACAUUGUUAAAUCUAAUCCAUGAUAAAAUAAUAAAAGUUUGAAAAAGUAGCACCACUCAACAAAUAAAAACAACAAAAUUUUGUGGAAAAUUAUCUGUAUGGCCAAGACAAUAGUCCAAAAGUUCUUCAAUUGUAAAAGGAAAGAGGAUAAAGAAGAUAAUAAACAUUAAACUGGAGAGUAUCAUUUCCUAAACCAUUCAACGUGUAGCUAUUAGAGUGACACACCGGUAAGAGUAUAAAUAAAAUUGAAAACUAAGAGUGCUCAGUUUUACCUUGACCGUGCAAAUGGUCUAUCUUUCUCGAGUUCUAACUCCAUAAGUUCAGCUUCUACUUCUCGAUUUUUAGCUAAGCCCAUGCCCCAUUCCAACUUUAUCUCAUGUGACCGAAGACCAACAUCACAAGCAGCCACAGUGAGAUUUGAUAAAAGCAUUGAUAAGAACUAUAACUCCUAAGAAGUACAUAGUUUAAAGUGGAAUUUUAAUUUAAAUCAUAGCUCUUUAAUACCACCCUAACUAGACUUCAAUACUAUACUUGAAUUCAACCAACCACUAAUAAAUAUAGAACAAGAAAUUGGAACAAGUCUGGAUUAUUAAUAUCACAAAGCCUAAAUAUUAGAAUUAUCAAUAUGAAAAAAGAUGAAACAAGUCUAAACUCAAGAUAGAUAGGUUUUAGAAGCUUUAAGUUGGUAGCUUUUCAACAUAGUCAACAAAACAUGGAGCAUACCUAAAGAAAGAGAAAGUCUCAUGCUAUUAAAUUAAUUGAAACCAACAGCAACAACAGAAAACCAACUUGAUUAAACAAGUUCUUAAUAAUCUUUUCAUUGAGCCAAACAAGCUAAAUCACACCACAUCUGAACUAGUCAAAAGCAAACAACCCAAAUGCUGAAUUUCAUUUUGAUUCGUCCCAACAUGUAUAUAGAUCUAAACAUGAAACUAAAACUUCCAAAUUUUGCAUAAGCUUAAAAAAUACAUGAAUUUAAGAUAAUUAGAAAAGGGGUACCCAAAAGAUAGCUUCUUUUUUUAAUAUUAUUAUUAUUGAAAAAG
rnacentral:lncRNA from 1 species